AAUAGUAUUUCAUAAUUAAAAACAUCAUCAUCACCGUCACCAUCAUAUUAAUCAUCAUAAUCAUCAGCUGUACAACUUGAAUGAUGACCUGAACACACACACACACACACACACACACACACACACACACACACACUCACAAAACAGAAAAAAAUAUACACUCAUUAAUAUUUUUUUCAUGUAACUUUAUUAUUCACACAGAUCUGAAUAAUAAUAAUAAUAAUAAUAAUAAUAAUAAUAAUAAUAAUAAUAAUAAUAAUAAUAAAAAUAAUAAUGUGCAAAAUUACAAUCAAUCAUUUUUUUUUUAAUAGAAUCAUUUGGUUGGACUUAAUAUUAAUACAAGCUUAAAAAAUUAUAGUAUUAAUGCCAAUACUAAUAAUAAAAAUAAUGAUAAUAAUGAUAAUAAUAGUUGUAAUUGGUAUCAUUAAUAUUUGAAAAGGUAUAAUCACAGCAAAAUUGAAAUAGCACAGGUGACCUUAUUAUAAUCUGCCUUAAUUAACUCUCUCUCACACACACACACACACACACACACACACACACAAUUCUUAAACAAUAUCAAAUCAGACUUCCUUCUCUUUUUUUUAUUUUCUUCUUUUUCUUCAUCUUUUUCUUCCCUAUUCAUAUAACAUCAAACUUCCUCCUCCUUCUCUUCUCCUUCUUUUUCUUCAUUUUUUUCAUCUUUUUCUUCCCUCCCUCACCAAUUUCCUCCUCUUCUCCUCCUCCUUUUUCUUCAUCUUUUUCUUCCCUCCCUCACCAAUUUCCUCCUCUUCUCCUCCUCCUUUUUCUUCAUCUUUUCUUUUUCUGUAAUCAUUUUCUUCCUUCCCUCACUAAUUUCCUCCUCUCCUCCUCCUCCUCCUUUUUCUUCCUUUUCUUCAUCUUUUUCUUCCCUCCCUCACCAAUUUCCUCCUCUUCUCCUCCUCCUUUUUCUUCAUUUUCUUCUAUUUCUUGAUCUUUUUCUUCUUCUGUGAUAAUUUUCUUCCCUCCCUCACCAAUCUCCUCCUCUUCUCCUCCUUUUCUUCAUUUUCUUCAUCUUUUUCUUCUUCCAUAAUAAUUUUCUUUCCUCCCUUAUCAAUUUCCUCCUCUUCUCCUCCUUUUUCUUCAUUUUCUUCAUCUUCUUCCGUAAACAUCUUCCUCCCUCCCUUACUAACACUAAUUACUCGGACAUAAUUUGGUUCAUUUGUGUGACUGUGGGAAUGUAACUAUCAAUAAUAAUAAUAAUAAUAAUAAUAAUAAUAAUAAUAAUAAUAAUAAUAAUAAUAAUAAUAAGACACUAAUCAAUGGUGUCAGAAAUUUGUGCGGAUUUCAGAUUUUUUGUUUUUUUGUUUUGUCUUCUUUUCAAAUUAUAAAUAAAUGCAAACAAACAAACAAACAAACAAACAAACCAAAAUCUUGAACCGGGAAAUCAAGAAAAAGAGAGGAAAGUAGAGGAGAGGAAAAGAAGGGGAAAGAAAAGAGGAAAGGAGAAGAGGAGGAGGAGGAAAAGAAAGUAGGUGAGAGAGGAGAGGAGAGGAAAGAAAAGAGGAGGAGGAGAAGAGAGGAGAGGAGAGGAAAAUAGGAAAGGAGAAGAGGAGAAGGAGGAGGAAAAGAAAGAAGAGGAGAGAGAAGAGAGUUAGAGGAAAGGAGAAGAGAAGGAGGAGGAGGAAAAGAAAGAAAAGAGGAGAGAGAAGAGAAGAGAGGAAAAGAGGAGGAGAGGAAAAGAGAGAAGAGGAGAAUGUAGAGGAGAGAAAAAGGAGAAUAAGGAAAGUCGAGAGGAAAGGAAAGAAGAGAAGGAGAGAGAGAGAGAAGAGGAAUGGAGAGAAGAGGAGGAAAGAGUAGAGGAAAAGAAUGUAGAUGAUUAAAAAGGAAAGCAGAGAAGAGAAAGCAAAGUAAGUAUAAAAGCCAAAGUAAACUCUAUAAAAAUCCCAAGCCAUGAAAAUAUACCAACUAAUAACAAAACUCUAUAAAUAUCGCGUCUUUUUGUUCAUGCGCUCAUUUUUUGUUCAUAAUCGCUCAAUCUCUUUAUUGCAUCAUGAACUCUCCCUUCCAUUCCUAAGCAUUCUUCUGCUCUCUAAUGUACGCUCCUUUCUCCUCCUUUCCCUUCAAAUCAACUACUGUAUUAUCCUUGAAUUAUCUCCUUUCCUCUUAUCUCCAAUCAACGUUCCCUUUCCUUUCCUGCGUCGGGACCCAGAAGAACGAACAGAGGAAUGACCACGCCUACUGGGUAUCUAUUUUCUGUAUUUGGGUCUGGGUAUUUUCCGUAACCCUCCUUGUCAGUGCUUGUCUUAUCAGAUGUUUACGACUUUGUAUAUCUGACUAAUUGCUUUCCUUCCCUUUCCUGUCAUGUUUACAAUUCUCUUCAACUCAUCUGCAAUCAACGUUUCCUUGCCUUUCUUGUCCGGUUAACUCUCCGCUCUCUUCCUUUCCGCUCUUCAACUCAUCUCUAAUCAAUGUUUCCUUUCCUUUCCUGUCCGGUUAAUUCUCCACUCUCUUCCUUUCCGCUCUUCAACUCAUCUCUAAUCAAUGUUUCCUUUCCUUUGCUGUCCGGUUAACUCUCCGCUCUCUUCCUUUCCGCUCUUCAACUCAUCUCCAAUCAGCGUUUCCUUUCCUUUCCUGUCCAGUUAGCAAUCCACUCUCUUCCUUUCCGCUCUUCAACUCAUCUCCAAUCAACAUUUCCUUCCUUUCCUGUCCAGUUAACUCUCCCCUCUCUUCCUUUCCGCUCUUCAAUCAAUGCCUUUCCCUUCCUCUCCUCUCGUGUGUGUUGUUGAGCUUAAUAGUAACAUAACAGGUGAAUUGGAAGGUGUAAAGUGCUGUUAAUCGUAAGGUAAACGUAGGUGCUGUCAACGGUAAGGUGGAAAAAGGUACGUAGAAGAUAAGGAAAUGAAAGUGCUGUAAAUCCCAAGGUCAAUUAAGGUGCUGACAACGGUAAGGUGGAAAAAGGUACUGAGAAUAUAAGGAAAUCAAAGUGCUGUAAAUUCUAAGGUAAAUGAACACACUCUAGCUUGUAAGGUGUGAAUGGUAAGGUCAACGAAGGUACUGUCCACCCAAAAAAGUCUAAAUACUGGACUUAAAAGAUAUUAACACCAUUGGGGACUUUGAGCGCCGCCGGUACCAGCUCCCAAGCAACAAACUAACUAACCAAAAUAUGAAUAAAGAAAUAAAUGAAUGAAAAAUAUAUGAAAGCAUGAAGCAGAUUAUUCAUGAUCAAACUAAAUACAUGAACUUGAUUUUUUACUCUUUUUUAGCUCAAUUGAAUAAUCCCAAAUAUUACUGCUACUAAAAUAAUAAUAAUAAUAAUAAUAAUAAUAAUAAUAAUAAUAAUAAUAAUAAAUCAUUCAUUAACUGUAAGUAUUCAUUAAUAUCUAACUUAAAUGCCAUGUAUGCAAAUGUUUGUUUUUAAUUCACCAACAAAAGCACACACACACACACACACACACACACACACACACACACACACACACACGCGCGCAUACACGCCUCUUUGAGAAAAUCUAAGCUAGAAACUUUGAUCUCCCUUUUCUAUUAUGGAGGUAAAAAAAAAGAAAGAAAAGAAAAGAAAAAUAGAGGUAGUGGAGGUAGAGGAUUGGGAUUGAAAUGUACAGAUGAGAAGGAAAAAAAGAAAGAAAAAGGAAGGUGGAGGAAGAGGAUUCAAGACUGCAAAAUGAGAGGUGAAAGAGGAUUGAAAUGUACAGAUGAGAAGGAAAAAAAUAGAGGUACUGGAGGUUGAGGAGGAUCAAAGAGUACAAGAUGGGAGGGAACAAAUAAGGAGAGAAAAAAAAAGGGAAAACAUUGAAACUGGAAGGAAAAGUGAGGGAAAGUGAAAGGGCUGAAUAAGGAGGAGGAAAGUAAAGGAAAGGGCAUCUUGAAUCUGGCUCUGAGAAACUUGGAAGGAGAAUAUGUAGAAAAUUAGUGAAAAUAGUCAGAAAGGAAAAUGAAAACAGUAACAGGAAAAGAGGAAAAGAGGAGAACAAGACAUACCAAACUUUACAUAUAUAUUCUUAGAUACUUGAAAAAAAAAUAAGUAAUGAAAAAAUAAGUAGAUUCAGAGGGAAAGGAAAAUGAAAACAGUAACGGGAAAAAGAGGAAAAGAGGAGAACAAGACAUACCAAACUUUACAUAUAUAUUCUUAGAUACUUGAAAAAAAAAAUAAUAAAAAAAUAAGUAGAUUCAGAGGGAAAGGAAAAUGAAAACAGUAAUGGGAAAAGAGGAAAAGAGAAGGAAAAGACAUACCAAACUUUACAUAUACAUUCUUAAGAGCUUGUAAAAGAUAAACAAAAAGAAGAGGAAAAAAAGUGUUUGAAACGGACAGACUGAUAGAGGAGGCAAUGAAACAAUAGACAGAGAGUUAGAUUGAAAAAGAAAGAUACUUAAUGCAAUAGAAAGGGCAGGCAACUUAUAUUUUGCUCUUGAGAAACCUGAGAAAACAAUAAAGAAAAGAUUAAAGAGAGAGAAAAGUUGCAUGGAAGAGGAAAAGGAAGAGAACAGUUGAACAAAAAAAAAAAAAGAUUAAAA